rnacentral:hammerhead_ribozyme from 1 species
ACCUUGAUGACGAGUCCCAAAUAGGAUGAAAUGCGUAUCCUGAAU